ACAUCGAGUGGCUGGAGGCCGCGGACAAUUACGUCAGCCUCCAUCUGCCGGGCCGAAGCCUGUUGCUGCGGCGCACGCUCGGCGCCGUGCUCGACGACC
rnacentral:tRNA from 1 species